rnacentral:lncRNA from 1 species
GCAUAUAGUGUUGAUGGCUUGAAUAUCUGAUUGAUUUGUAUAAGUUGGCAUAAAACUCCAAAACAAACUUCUUGACUAAAGUAGAUGAUUUGUUCCAAGAAAACAUCGAUCCCAUUCUCAUAAAAUCCACUUUCUACGAUGUUUCUCUUGGCACAAGUAGGAUCGAAAAUUUUCUUCUUUGGCUGAGCCUCUCUCACAUCUUCUUACAAAACUUCAAGCACAC